rnacentral:rRNA from 1 species
UAAGACAGAGGUCCCGAGCGUUAGGCGGAAUCACUGGGCUUAAAGCGUGUGUAGGCGGAUCGUUAAGUGCCUUGUGAAAUCCCACGGCUCAACCGUGGAACUGCUUGGCAUACUGGCGAUCUUGAGCCAUCUAGGGGCAACCGGAACAAACGGUGGAGCGGUGAAAUGCGUAGAUAUCGUUUGGAACGCCAAUGGUGAAAACAGGUUGCUGGGGAUGUGCUGACGCUGAGACACGAAAGCCAGGGGAGCGAACGGGAUUAGAUACCCCGGUAGUCCUGGCCGUAAACGAUGUCGACUAGAUCGUAGUGCCUCUGACGGUAUUACGGUCGAAGCAAAAGUGCUAAGUCGACCGCCUGGGAAGUACGGUCGCAAGGCUA